UGGGGAAUAUUGCACAAUGGGCGCAAGCCUGAUGCAGCCAUGCCGCGUGUAUGAAGAAGGCCUUCGGGUUGUAAAGUACUUUCAGUCGGGAGGAAGGUGGUAAGGUUAAUAACCUUAUCAAUUGACGUUACCGACAGAAGAAGCACCGGCUAACUCCGUGCCAGCAGCCGCGGUAAUACGGAGGGUGCAAGCGUUAAUCGGAAUUACUGGGCGUAAAGCGCACGCAGGCGGUUGAUUGAGUCAGAUGUGAAAUCCCCGGGCUUAACCCGGUAACUGCAUCGGAUACUGGUUAGCUAGAGUCUUGUAGAGGGGGGUAGAAUUCCAUGUGUAGCGGUGAAAUGCGUAGAGAUGUGGAGGACUACCGGUGGCGAAGGCGGCCCCCUGGACAAAGACUGACGCUCAGGUGCGAAAGCGUGGGGAGCAAACAGG
rnacentral:rRNA from 1 species